AAGGAAAAGAACGCCCAAACCCGAAUGCUGAUACACUUUUGGAUUAUUCGUUUCCAGCAAGAAACGAGCAAGAAAGCGAGGUGAGGAUUUUGCAUGUUUUUGGAGGAAUCGUGGCAAAAAAAUUUGUCUGAAAGCGAAAUCGAGAAUCGUCCAACUUCGGUAAUCGGCAACGGACACGUGGCUGCCGUAAAGGAGGGUGACAAGUAAAAAAAAAAAGAGGGAUAUUCGUCGAGCAAUUUGUGGAGAGGCGUCUGAAGCUGUGCACUGACAGGCAUCCAACUUCUGACCAAGAUACCCGAACUGAAAACCAACCCGAUGAACUGCUUUCCAACCCGAGUCCUACCGCCAGUCCCUACGUGCCACAUGUCACGUCCUAAAAAUUCGAAGGGUAAGUCUACGUCCGCUGGAGCUCGAAGCGUGCCUCUGCCCGCACUUGUGCACUACGCAUGGAGCCCAUGCAAGGGGGUGUCACGAUCAUGCAUGUCCAAGGCGUGUUGUCAAUGGCCGUAUGACAAAUGUCCUGGUCUUGCUUGUCCAGGAUGUGUUGUCCAUGGUUGCAUGCCCGUUCCAAAUCCCUUUUACAUGCUUUCAUCCUAGAUAAGUCUUUACCAUUUCAUAUUGGGUCAGUACGAGGGUGUAUGACCAUUCACCAAAACCAUGUCUACACCUGCAAGGGCUAAAAUGCCCCAAAAUGUACU